rnacentral:rRNA from 1 species
UACAGAGGUCUCGAGCGUUAGGCGGAAUCACUGGGCUUAAAGCGUGUGUAGGCGGAUCGUUAAGUGCCUUGUGAAAUCCCACGGCUCAACCGUGGAACUGCUUGGCAUACUGGCGGUCUUUGAGCAACCUAGGGGCGAGCGGAACAAAUGGUGGAGCGGUGAAAUGCGUAGAUAUCAUUUGGAACGCCAAUGGUGAAAACAGCUCGCUGGGGGUUUGCUGACGCUGAGACACGAAAGCCAGGGGAGCAAACGGGG